GAACCCUUGGCGCAGCGGUAGCGCGUCUGAUUCCAGCUAUCCCAUAAGGAGCGGCUGUGAAGGCUGCUUCAACGUCGUAUCUCACGGAUCCAGAAGGUCGUCCGUUCAAUCCGGGCAGGGUUCA
rnacentral:tRNA from 2 species